rnacentral:rRNA from 1 species
AUACCACUCUUAUAAAGCUAGAAUUCUAACCUUAUACCGUUAGCCGGCUAAGGAACAGUCUCUGGUGGGCAGUUUGACUGGGGCGGUCGCCUCCUAAAAGGUAACGGAGGCGCACAAAGGUUUCCUCAGAUCGGUCAGAAAUCGAUCGUAGAGCGUAAAGGCAUAAGGAAGCUUGACUGCGAGACCUACAAGUCGAGCAGAGACGAAAGUCGGUCUUAGUGAUCUGACGGUUCCGAGUGGAAGGGCCGUCACUCAACGGAUAAAAGUUACUCUAGGGAUAACA